GACGAACGCUGGCGGCAUGCCUAAUACAUGCAAGUCGAGCGAACAGAUGAAGUGCUUGCACUUCUGACGUUAGCGGCGAACGGGUGAGUAACACGUAAGGAAUCUACCUAUAAGCGGGGGAUAACAUUCGAAAACGGGUGCUAAUACCGCAUAAUAUCUUCUUCCGCAUGGAAGAAGAUUGAAAGACGGCUCUGCUGUCACUUAUAGAUGACCUUGCGGUGCAUUAGUUAGUUGGUGGGGUAAUGGCCUACCAAGACGAUGAUGCAUAGCCGACCUGAGAGGGUGAUCGGCCACAUUGGGACUGAGACACGGACCAAACGCCUACGGGAGGCAGCAGUAGGGAAUCUUCCGCAAUGGGCGAAAGCCUGACGGAGCAAUGCCGCGUGAGUGAAGAAGGCCUUCGGGUCGUAAAACUCUGUUAUAAGAGAAGAACAAAUUGUAGAGUAACUGCUACAGUCUUGACGGUAUCUUAUCAGAAAGCCACGGCUAACUACGUGCCAGCCGCCGCGGUAA
rnacentral:rRNA from 1 species